rnacentral:lncRNA from 1 species
UUGUGUGGAUAGUUGUUGAAUUUGGUGUUCCUGUUGCGGAGACCAUCGCUGGAGGGUUCUAUUCGGCCGUCUUGCUCCAUCUCCUGAAGCCUGACUUUUUUGAGCAUGCCCUAACACUAAAGGAAGCCAAAAGAUUGAACACCCCUGUCGUAGAUGGUAAUGAGUCCUGGAUGAAAAAGCCUGCACCCAGCUCUCUUCCUGAUACUCUAAGUUGCAGGGAAGGCUGAAGCUUCUAGCAAUGGGAAGGAGGAGGUGGCCUUCAGUAUGGACUGGCAUUCACUGAGAUAUUGCUUGCACCAUCUGCUCUUUGGACAUCACACCUUUAGCCCAGUGUCUUUGUUUCCUCUUUGGUAUCAGAUUAGCAUGUCCAUGUACUCUGUGUAUCCCUCAUCCCAACCAAAAGCUCCUUCAGAUCCACUGGGGCCCUUUAUAUCACUCCCUUGAUAUAUCCAGAAGUAAGGCAAACUUCCCUUCU